rnacentral:rRNA from 1 species
UACGUAGGUGGCAAGCGUUGUCCGGAAUUAUUGGGCGUAAAGCGCUCGCAGGCGGUCUUUUAAGUCUGAUGUGAAAUCUCGUGGCUUAACCACGAACGGUCAUUGGAAACUGGAGGACUUGAGUACAGAAGAGGAGAGUGGAAUUCCACGUGUAGCGGUGAAAUGCGUAGAGAUGUGGAGGAACACCAGUGGCGAAGGCGACUCUCUGGUCUGUAACUGACGCUGAGGAGCGAAAGCGUGGGGAGCGAACAG